rnacentral:rRNA from 1 species
UACGAAGGUGGCAAGCGUUGGCCGGAAUUACUGGGUGUAAAGGGCGUGUAGGCGGGACUGCAAGUCAGAUGUGAAAUUCCCAGGCUCAACCUGGGGGCUGCGUCUGAAACUGUGGUUCUUGAGUGCUGGAGAGGAAAGCGGAAUUCCUAGUGUAGCGGUGAAAUGCGUAGAUAUUAGGAGGAACACCAGUGGCGAAGGCGGCUUUCUGGACAGUAACUGACGCUGAGGCGCGAAAGCGUGGGGAGCAAACAGG